rnacentral:rRNA from 1 species
AAGGUCAGGCUGAAGACUUACCCGAUUAGCUGAGAGGUGGUGCAUGGCCGUCGUCAGUUCGUACUGUGAAGCAUCCUGUAAGUCAGGCAACGAGCGAGACCCACGUCCACAGUUGCCAGCAUACCCUCCGGGGUGAUGGGUACACUGUGGAGACCGCCGCUGCUAAAGCGGAGGAAGGAGUGGGCAACGGUAGGUCAGUAUGCCCCGAAUCUCCCGGGCUACACGCGGGCUACAAUGGUUGGUACAAUGGGCAUCUACCCCGAAAGGGGAAGGAAAUCUCUUAAAGCCAAUCGUAGUUCGGAUUGAGGGCUGCAACUCGCCCUCAUGAAGCUGGAAUCCGUAGUAAUCGCGUUUCAACAGAACGCGGUGAAUACGUCCCUGCUCCUU